UUCUGUUAACAGAGGGAGACUCAGUCACUCAACACAACACUUGAGGAGUUGAAAGCUGACAAGGAAAACUUGGAAGAAGAUUUGUGCUGUGGUAAGAAACAACUGCCAUGUUCUCAAGGUGUGGUGUUUAAAAGAAAGGCAGCAAGCAUGUUAGCAAUCACAAGAUAAAGGAAGAACUAUCAGAGUGAAAGAGAGAGAGAGAGAGAGACUAGGAAAUGGUAUCAUAUCUCGACAGUGUCCUGUUUAUUCCCAAAAGCUUUAUAUACACAGUAGAAUUGGAAUCAGAUAAGCUAAACAAAGUUCAUCAUCUCCCCCUCUUCGAAAGUGGAGCCUUUGCAUCAUAGUAUCCUGGAAGAAGAGGACAAAGUUGUAAGAUGGGCAAAGAAUACAAACUCUUUUCAGCGAACAAAAAGGAGCUUUAACUCAUCCCAAAGCUCACCCACAGUGCCAAAAGUAGACAAGUAUUUAGACAACACAUAACAAAGAAACUGUAGCAGCAGCUGGAAGAGGCGUCAAGCUUUAAUACACUCAUAGCAUCAUCAUAAGACAAACAUGAAGAAGUAGAAGAACAUUCAGAAGAUAUCAGACCAAGCUCCUUUGUCCUUACAAAUGGGAAGGACAGGGGUUGAGCAUGCAGGUUCUGAUCUGGCCAAAGAAAUGUCAAAACAGAAAAUGAAAAAAACAAUGAGAUAAAUCCGAUCUGUCUGUAUUCGUAUUUUACUUUUCCCACUUCAUAUUUAUUCGAAAGCUACGGAUCACACCAAGAUUCAUUGACCAACACAAUACGACACCCAAACUGUGUGAGAACCACAACUCACUGCUCAAGUACCACAAUUCUGGAUUUUGGGAACAUUCAUCAUUUUUUUAAAAUUGUAUUAUUCUUAUAGGCACCGUAAAAAUGGACUCCAACCUCGAAGAUCAUGUUUAUUAUCGUGAGGCUAAACUAGCAAUAGAUUAGAUUUUUUUUAGUUUAUUAUUGUUAUAAAAUAUCAUUGAAGAUAGGGUUGUAGUGUAUGAAGAUUUUUGAAUGCCAACAGUAAAGGCAUCCAAAUUUAAAUUAAAAAAGUAAUAACAAAUAUGAUUAUUUCUUAGUGAAAUUAAAA